CGCUAUAAUAAUCCCCGAAAUCGCCGGUCCAGCGCCUCGGACCGGUUUUUUAGUGU
rnacentral:sRNA from 1 species